AUGUUGUAUGAAAGGAGGGAAGGUUAGCACUCCCCUUGACAAGGGUGGAAGAGGCCUUCGGGCCUGACACACUUAUAAUUAAGGCAUUGCCACCUGCUUUGUGGCAUCUAACCACUGUCUCUC
rnacentral:ncRNA from 1 species